UUCCGGUUGAUCCUGCCGGACCCUACUGCUAUCGGGGUGGGGCUAAGACAUGCGAGUUGCGCGUCUCUAGGCUAUGGUAGAGACGCAGCGUACGGCUCAGUAACACGUGGCUAACCUGCCCUUAGGACGGGGACAAACCCGGGAAACUGGGGCUAAUACUCGAUAGGUGAGGGGGCCUGGAAUGGUUCUUCACUGAAAGGGCGUUGAAACCACGCUUUUCAGCGUCGCCUAAGGAUGGGGCCGCGCCCGAUCAGGUUGUUGGUGAGGUAACGGCUCACCAAGCCUAUAACCGGUACGGGCCGUGAGAGCGGGAGCCCGGAGAUGGGCACUGAGACAAGGGCCCAGGCCCUACGGAGCGCAGCAGUCGCGAAAACUCCGCAAUGCGCGAAAGCGUGACGGGGCUACCCCGAGUGCCGUCCGCUGAGGAUGGCUUUUCCCCGGUGUAAUGAGCCGGGGGAAUAAGGAGAGGGCAAGACUGGUGUCAGCCGCCGCGGUAAUACCAGCUCUCCGAGUGGUAGGGACGAUUAUUGGGCUUAAAGCGUCCGUAGCCGGCUUGGCAAGUCUCCUGUUAAAUUCAGCGACCUAAUCGUUGAGCCGCGGGAGAUACUGUUAGGCUAGGAGGCGGGAGAGGCCGACGGUAUUCUCGGGGUAGGGGUGAAAUCCUAUAAUCCCGGGAGGACCACCAGUGGCGAAGGCUGUCGGCUAGAACGCGCUCGACGGUGAGGGACGAAAGCUGGGGGAGCGAACCGGAUUAGAUACCCGGGUAGUCCCAGCUGUAAACGAUGCGGGCUAGGUGUUGGGGUGGCUACGAGCCACUUCAGUGCCGCAGGGAAGCCAUUAAGCCCGCCGCCUGGGGAGUACGGCCGCAAGGCUGAAACUUAAAGGAAUUGGCGGGGGAGCACCACAAGGCGUGAAGCUUGCGGUUCAAUUGGAUUCAACGCCGGA
rnacentral:rRNA from 1 species